rnacentral:rRNA from 1 species
CCUACGGGUGGCAGCAGUGAGGAAUAUUGGUCAAUGGGCGUAAGCCUGAACCAGCCAAGUCGCGUGAGGGAUGAAGGUUCUAUGGAUCGUAAACCUCUUUUAUAAGGGAAUAAAGUGUGGGACGUGUCCUAUUUUGUAUGUACCUUAUGAAUAAAGAUCGUCUAACUCCGUGCCAGCAGCCGCGGUAAUACGGAGGAUCCGAGCGUUCUCCGGAUUUAUUGGGUUUAAAGGGUUCGUAGGCGGCCGUUUAAGUCAGCGGCGAAAGUCUGUGGCUCAACCAUAGAAUUGCCGUUGAAACUGGGGGUCUUGAGUAUGUUGGAGGCAGGCGGAAUGCGUGGUGGAGCGGUGAAAUGCUUAGAUAUCACGCAGAACCCCGAUUGCGAAGGCAGCCUGCCAAGCCAUGACUGACGCUGAUGCACGAAAGCGUGGGGAUCAAACAGGAUUAGAUACCCGAGUAGUC